AGCGAACGCUGGCGGCAGGCCUAACACAUGCAAGUCGAACGAACUCUUCGGAGUUAGUGGCGGACGGGUGAGUAACACGUGGGAACGUGCCUUUAGGUUCGGAAUAACUCAGGGAAACUUGUGCUAAAUACCGAAUGUGCCCUUCGGGGAAAGAUUUAUCGCCUUUAGAGCGGCCCGCGUCUGAUUAGCUAGUUGGUGAGGUAAAGGCUCACCAAGGCUACGAUCAGUAGCUGGUCUGAGAGGAUGACCAGCCACAUUGGGACUGAGACACGGCCCAAACUCCUACGGGAGGCAGCAGUGGGAAUCUUGCGCAAUGGGCGAAAGCCUGACGCAGCCAUGCCGCGUGGAUGAUGAAGGUCUUAGGAUUGUAAAUCCUUCACCGGUGAAGAUAAUGACUGUAGCCGGAGAAGAAGCCCCGGCUAACUCGUGCCAGCAGCCGCGGUAAU
rnacentral:rRNA from 1 species